rnacentral:rRNA from 1 species
AAAUUACCCCCAACUCGCCUGGGAACUACGAGCCAAGCUUAAAACCCAAAGGACUUGACGGUACCCCAUAUCCCCCUAGAGGAGCCUGUCCUAUAAUCGAUACCCCCCGUUCAACCUCACCAUUUCUAGCAACUCAGCCUGUAUACCUCCGUCGUCAGCUUACCCCGUGAGCGCUAGUGAGCUCAAUGUUUUUUCAACUAAACGUCAGGUCAAGGUGCAACACAUGAAAUGGGAAGAGAUGGGCUACACUUUCUAACAUAGACCACACGGAAGACUAACUAUGAAAUCUAGUCAGAAGGCGGAUUUAGAAGUAAAAAGUAACUAGAGAGUCCUUUUUAACCCAGCACUGGGGUGUGUACACAUCGCCCGUCGCUCUUA